GACGAACGCUGGCGGCGUGCUUAACACAUGCAAGUCGAACGGAAAGGCCCUGCUUUUGUGGGGUGCUCGAGUGGCGAACGGGUGAGUAACACGUGAGUAACCUGCCCUUGACUUUGGGAUAACUUCAGGAAACUGGGGCUAAUACCGGAUAUGAGCUCCUGCUGCAUGGUGGGGGUGGGAAAGUUUCGGCGGUUGGGGAUGGACUCGCGGCUUAUCAGCUUGUUGGUGGGGUAGUGGCUUACCAAGGCUUUGACGGGUAGCCGGCCUGAGAGGGUGACCGGCCCCAUUGGGACUGAGAUACGGCCCAGACUCCUACGGGAGGCAGCAGUGGGGAAUAUUGCACAAUGGGCGGAAGCCUGAUGCAGCAACGCCGCGUGCGGGAUGACGGCCUUCGGGUUGUAAACCGCUUUCGCCUGUGACGAAGCGUGAGUGACGGUAAUGGGUAAAGAAGCACCGGCUAACUACGUG
rnacentral:rRNA from 1 species